GGGGAAUAUUGGACAAUGGGCGAAAGCCUGAUCCAGCCAUGCCGCGUGAGGGAAGAAGGUCUUCGGAUUGUAAACCUUUGUCCUAUGGGACGAAACAAAUGACGGUACCAUAGGAGGAAGCUCCGGCUAACUACGUGCCAGCAGCCGCGGUAAUACGGAGGGUGCAAGCGUUACUCGGAAUCACUGGGCGUAAAGAGCACGUAGGCGGCCUUGCAAGUCAGAUGUGAAAUCCAACGGCUUAACCGUUGAACUGCAUUUGAAACUGCAAGGCUAGAGUAUGGGAGAGGUAGGUGGAAUUCUCGGUGUAGGGGUAAAAUCCGUAGAGAUCGAGAGGAAUACUCAUUGCGAAGGCGACCUGCUGGAACAUUACUGACGCUGAGGUGCGAAAGCGUGGGGAGCAAACA
rnacentral:rRNA from 1 species